ACAUGCAAGUCGAGGGGCAGCAUCAUCAAAGCUUGCUUUGAUGGAUGGCGACCGGCGCACGGGUGAGUAACACGUAUCCAACCUGCCGACAACACUGGGAUAGCCUUUCGAAAGAAAGAUUAAUACCGGAUGGCAUAGUUUUCCCGCAUGGGAUGAUUAUUAAAGAAUUUCGGUUGUCGAUGGGGAUGCGUUCCAUUAGGCAGUUGGCGGGGUAACGGCCCACCAAACCAACGAUGGAUAGGGGUUCUGAGAGGAAGGUCCCCCACAUUGGAACUGAGACACGGUCCAAACUCCUACGGGAGGCAGCAGUGAGGAAUAUUGGUCAAUGGACGAGAGUCUGAACCAGCCAAGUAGCGUGAAGGAUGACUGCCCUAUGGGUUGUAAACUUCUUUUAUACGGGAAUAAAGUUAGCCACGUGUGGCUUUUUGUAUGUACCGUAUGAAUAAGGAUCGGCUAACUCCGUGCCAGCAGCCGCGGUAAUACGGAGGAUCCGAGCGUUAUCCGGAUUUAUUGGGUUUAAAGGGAGCGUAGGCGGGUUGUUAAGUCAGUUGUGAAAGUUUGCGGCUCAACCGUAAAAUUGCAGUUGAUACUGGCGACCUUGAGUGCAACAGAGGUAGGCGGAAUUCGUGGUGUAGCGGUGAAAUGCUUAGAUAUCACGAAGAACUCCGAUUGCGAAGGCAGCUUACUGGAUUGUAACUGACGCUGAUGCUCGAAAGUGUGGGUAUCAAACAGGAUUAGAUACCCUGGUAGUCCACACAGUAAACGAUGAAUACUCGCUGUUGGCGAUAUACAGUCAGCGGCCAAGCGAAAGCAUUAAGUAUUCCACCUGGGGAGUACGCCGGCAACGGUGAAACUCAAAGGAAUUGACGGGGGCCCGCACAAGCGGAGGAACAUGUGGUUUAAUUCGAUGAUACGCGAGGG
rnacentral:rRNA from 1 species